AGGACGAACGCUGGCGGCGUGCCUAACACAUGCAAGUCGAACGAGGCUUAUCCGGUAGCAAUACCGGAGACUGCCUAGUGGCGAACGGGUGAGUAGCACGUGAGCAACCUGCCCCGAAGACUGGGAUAACACCGGGAAACCGGUGCUAAUACCAGAUGCCCCCACCGGAUCGCAUGAUCUGGUGAGGAAAUGGAUUCCGCUUCGGGAGGGGCUCGCGGCCUAUCAGCUAGUUGGUGAGGUAACGGCUCACCAAGGCUUCGACGGGUAGCUGGUCUGAGAGGACGAUCAGCCACACUGGGACUGAGACACGGCCCAGACUCCUACGGGAGGCAGCAGUGGGGAAUCUUGCACAAUGGGCGAAAGCCUGAUGCAGCAACGCCGCGUGAGGGACGAAGGCUUUCUGAGUUGUAAACCUCUUUCAGCAGGGACGAUUGUGACGGUACCUGCAGAGAAGCCCGGCACUACGUGCCAGCAGCCG
rnacentral:rRNA from 1 species